ensembl:miRNA
CAGUGCUGUGUGCAGUGUCCUACUCAGAAAGGUACUGAUCACUUAGAGGACAAGUAGUCACUGCCUUUCUGGGUGGACUGAUGCUCAACAGGAAGAACCUG